GCCAACAUGGCAUAGUGGUUUAAGUGUUGGACUAUAAUUCUGGAGACCAGGAUUCAAUUCCUGCCUUGGCC